rnacentral:rRNA from 1 species
AUGAAAGCUUGCUUGGCCCCGGAGCUGGAUGGCCUUCUGAUAGUUUCCUUCCAGAAAUUCUGGGAGAUCCUACGUCUGGUCAUUAUGCCCAUGUUCCAUGAGUUUUAUAUCGGAACUCUGGACAUGGCUAGGAUUAACUAUGGUGUCAUAUUUCUUAUCCCCAAAGUAGUUGGGGCAAUGGAUAUUCGGCAGUUCCGUCCAAUCACGGUGAUCAACGUGUUGGAGCGAAUCCUUGUGAAGGUUUGCGCGACACGUUUAUCCCCUGUGGCGGAAAGGAUUGCCCACCCCCUUCAGUCCACGUCCUUGAAGGGCCUACGGAUCCAUGAAGGGAUUCUUCCCUUCUCGAGAUUGUCCACGAGGUGGCGUCGAAGGGGCUUAAGGGGGUGUUCCUCAAAUUGGACUUCCGGAAGGCGUAUGACCAUCCGGACUGGUCCAUUUUGA